CACAGGGAUGUCAUGCAGAAGAACUAUGAAAAUGAGACCUGGCCAGAUGAAAACCACAAACCCCAGUGAGAGCAACAGGCUGGAAGACUAGACUGAACCCACCAUCCAGCCUAGUCCAUCCCAGAGCCCAGGACUGAGGGCAA